UAAUCCUGGAUUAAUUGGCCUUAAUGAAGUUGAAUUAAUUACUAGCUGCUUGUAAAGAACUUUGAACUACCUUAGUACAAAAUGGCAUUAAAGAAACAGAAAGGAACCAGCAUCGCAUUAACAUUAAGAACAAAUCCCAAAUAAUCGCAAUUCUGCAGGCCGUUUCCUGUCAAUCAUUUCCCAGGGACCAUGCUCAGCCUGUGAAACUGUGGGGGACCCCGGAAUCUGCCGCAGAGAAGGAUGUAUUUGUGGACUGGAAGUUUGGGGUCAGUUUCAUGGAGGGUUUUUGUCAUUUACUUCCUCAAACUGUGACUAGUGCGGAACAUAAUAAGGAGGAAGCUUCCUGAAGUUGUGGCAGGCCAAAGGCAUAGCUGUUGGUGGAUGAACGGGUAAGCAAAUGGUGGUCCGUCCACUCAGUGGAAUACUACACAACCACAAGAAGGCAAUCACGAUGUGGUGACAUGUGGCCACGUGGACGAAUCUCAAAUGCACUAUACUAGGGGUGCAGGAACAAGGUGCAGGAACAAGGAAGUUACACCAGGCAUUGGCUGGUUUAAGAUUCCAUUUCUCGGAGAGCCAAAUUUGUAACUAAGUUAAUGCUCAGUUUGGUGACACAGGGCUUCGCAUAAGUGACUCCAUUUUGGGCCGGUUGUCGUGUUUUUAACAGGGUUGAGGUUCAGGGCAGGCUGUCCCCAAAUAUGUCACUUUGGCAUAUGGAUUAUUCGGAAUUAAAGUACUUAGGACACAGUGCAAUAAAACCAUGCUGGCCCUCUUUUGUCUCCCUGAAAGCAGGAAAUAAAUUUCCCACACGAAGGGUACCCGGGUAGAAGACAUCCUUAUCGCCAGAGAUGGGGAAUUCAGGGCCCAGAAGGCUGUAUAAAUAAACCUCGUUUACUUCUUCACUAAUUUGCUAU